AGUGCCCUCCACACUAGUGUGUUGUUUUGUGUGUCUCCCUGCUAUGCUGCUCUCUGCUUUAACUGAUUCACUGAAAUAUGAGUUCAUGCUGAAUUCAAUUUGUGCCAAAUAGACAUCAGACUUAUUAUUAUGCCACAUUCGUUAUGUGCCAAAUAGACCUAUGAUCAUAUACUGCUUUCUUUGUAUUCAUUCUUAAUGUGUGUGUUUUUAACAAAAAUAUAAGUAUAUGUUCUUUAUGUGUUUAUUUUUAACUGAGAAAUUAGUAUAUAUUGUUCUUUAUUUGUGUGGUUUUAUUAUAUAUAUACAGUGUAUAUAUAUAUUGUGUGUGUGUGUGUGUGUGUGUGUGUGUGUGUGUGUGUGUGUGUGUGUGUGUGUGUGUGUGUGUGUGUGUGUUGUGUGUUUUUAACAGAGAUGUGAGUACGUACUGCUUUCCCUGUGUUGCAGUAAAUACAGGCCUGCUCUUUUCAUGACAAAUCAGGUAAGUGUGAUCAAUGCACACACAUAUACACACACACACACACACACACACACACACACACACAUACACAUACAUAAACACACACACAUAUACACACACACAAACAUCACACACACAUAUAUACACACACACACACACACACACACACACACACACACACAAACAUCAGUAACUAGUUUGAGAUCAGACUGUCUGUAAUGUAAAUAUUGAUGGUCGUAGCCAUGGUGGAUGGGAAUUGUUGGGUAGAGAGAUGUCAUUGAUGUUCCUUGUACUCCAAAUUGGGUUGAAACUGUAUCGGUGUUCCCUGUAGUCAUCCGUGUUCCCUGUCAUCAUUGGUGUUCCUUGUCCAGCUGCCAAGUUCUUGUUCGUCUGCCGUUACGAACAUCCCGUUUAUUCGCGGCCGGUUGCUGCAGAAACUACCGCCUCCGUACCGCACCCCCACUGAGUUUGUGUCCGACAUCUGGAUCCUGCUAGAUCUCCUGCUCAAGAGGGCAAAGUGGAAGGCUGAGUGGGAGAAACAGCUGAAAGCUCUGCGGGUCAUCUUCUCCCAGAGGCUGCAGCGAGCCUUCAGUCACACCCUCCACCCAUCUGUCCUGCGCAACCCCUUCCGCCAGAGGCCAGGCAGAACGAGAGGGAAGGAGAGAGGGACGGAGAGAGGGACGGAAAGAGGGAAGGAGAGAGGGACGGAAAGAGGGAAGGAGAGAGUGGCGGAAAGAGGGAAGGAGAGAGUGGCGGAAAGAGGGAAGGAGAGGGGGGCGGACCGAGGGAAGGAGAGAGGGAUGGAGAGAGGGGUGGAAAGAGGGAAGGAGAGAGGGAUGGAGAGAGGGAAGGAGAGAGCGGUGGAAAAAGGGAAGGAGAGAGGGAUUGAGAGAGGGGCGGACCGAGGGUUGGAGAGAAGGAAAGAGAGAGGGGCGGAAAGAGGAAGGAGAGAGGGAUGGAGAGAGGGCCGGACAGAGGGAUGGAGAGAGGGGCGGAAAGAGGGAAGGAGAGAGGGAUGGACAGAGGGAAGGAGAGAGGGGCGGAAAGAGGGAAGGAGAGGGGUGGAGGGAAAGCGAGAAGACGUAAAAAACAGAAGAAACAGAGGGCUGGUAGGACAGAGGGUGAGCGGACGCAGGCGCAGAAGCAGUCGGAGUCCCAGAAGCAGACCAUGCAGUCCGGUGAGGCAGACUCUGCCAGGGCUAGUGGGUCGUCACCAGUGCUUCAGGUUACGCUCCUGGAGAACUUCACCAGCCUGGUCCAGAUGAGCGCUGUGAUGAGGCUUCAAACACACACUUAGGGGUCUCCCAUAUGGGCUACACACACACUCCUGCUUCACACAGACUGCAAAUACAUACAUGAAGUUAAUAUAAGAUGUUUGUGUUUGUUUGAGAAGGCCUUUGUUCCAGUGUGCCUUUUUUCUGAUCUCUGUUUUGUGUAAAUAGUUGGGUUUGUUUAUACUGAAGUUGAAUUAAAAGGUGUUUUUUUGCAAAAGGUCUUGGGUUAUCUCAUUUCAGAGUGGUUUUAUGAGUGCCU
rnacentral:lncRNA from 1 species